GAGAAAAAAAAGGGGUGAAGUGGACAUUACAAAUUGAUCCUUGGACUUGUGGAAAUUGAUAUUUGAAUUUGUAACGUUUCCUAUUUUAAAAAAACAUGCUACAGGAGAAAAAAAGGGGUGAAGUGGCCAUUACAAACUGAUCCUUGGACUUGUGGAAAUUGAUAUUUGAAUUUGUAACGUUUCCUAUUUAAAAAAAAAAAAAACAUGCUACAGGUGGGAAUAUAUAUUGGAUGAUAUCACCAGUUCAUUACAUAUGGUCAUAGAAU